ACACUUACCUGGCAGGUAAGAUACCAUGAUUAUAAAGGUGGUUUUCCCAGAAUGAGGCUUAUCCAUUGCACUCUGAGUGUACUGGCCCUGUGAUUUUCACAAAAGUGGGGUACUCAACUCCUUGAUUUGUGGCAGUAGAGUACAGUGUUUGUGCUCUCUCCUG